ACCGGCGCCGUGCCCACACAAGCGUGCUAGAAACCCACGGAAAGCAACAACAAAUGCAGCUAGGGCGCCCAUGGAAGGGAUAUUUCAACUGCAUUUACCAAUUGCAUACAGUUGUUGGCCAUUGAUUCUCGUGCGUCCUUGCCGAAUACCCAUUCGAAGUCUCUCCUCGGGCACGUG
rnacentral:ribozyme from 1 species